AUGCAGCCCCAAUCGGGUGGUAAAUUUCGUCCAAGGCUAAAUAUUUGUGAGAGACCGAUAGUAAACAAGUACCGCGAGGGAAAGAUGAAAAGGACUUUGAAAAGAGAGUCAAAGAGUGCUUGAAAUUGUUGGGAGGGAAGCGAAUGGGGGCAGGCAAUGUGCCUCGGUCACAUGUGGAACGGUCUUAUUUCGGUUUGCUGGUUGACUCGAGGUGCGGGUUGAAGCGGAUUGAGGUGGCUGUUGAAGCUGAAGCUAUGGAUACGGCCUUUUGGAUAUGUGGUCCCCUUGAUCAUUAUGGGAAGUGUGCGUUUUAUGCGAUGUGUUUUUGCAUCGGUGCACUCCGUGAAUCUACUCGUGUGCUCCUCAUUUGACC
rnacentral:rRNA from 1 species